CCUACGGGAGGCAGCAGUGGGGAAUAUUGGGCAAUGGGCGCAAGCCUGACCCAGCAACGCCGCGUGAAGGAAGAAGGCUUUCGGGUUGUAAACUUCUUUUCUGAGGGACGAAGAAAGUGACGGUACCUCAGGAAUAAGUCACGGCUAACUACGAGCCAGCAGCCGCGGUACUACGUAGGUGGCAAGCGUUAUCCGGAUUUAUUGGGUGUAAAGGGCGUGUAGGCGGGUAAGCAAGUCAGAUGUGAAAUCUCGGGGCUCAACCCUGAGCCUGCAUUUGAAACUGUUUUUCGUGAGUGCUGGAGAGGCAAUCGGAAUGCCGGGUGUAGCGGUGAAAUGCGUAGAUAUACGGAGGAACACCAAUGGCGAAGGCGGAUUGCUGGACAGUAACUGACGCUGAGGCGCGAAAGCGUGGGGAGCAAACAGGAUUAGAUACCCUUGUAGUC
rnacentral:rRNA from 1 species